CCGGUUUUCACCAGAAUGUUCUAGAUCUGGCUGAGACCGGUACGUAUCGUUUACAGCGCGACACUAAUGUGUAAAGUUUGUAAUUUAAGUAAUCUGUAAGUUGUUUAAAAUGUGUCAUGUGUUUCAUACGAUCAUAGUAGUCGAGUUGCUUCAUUCUUUUAUGGUUUAUUUUCAUUUUUGAGUUAGUUCAGAGUGUUACAGCAAGCUAGCAAACAUGUAUUAAGUUUUCUAGCUUGCUUGUGUAAGUGCGUAGGUGUCCGUCAUUUUGUGUCCUGAAGAAUGCCUUCUGAACUGUGUAUUUUUUUUGUUAGGCAUGUGACCAAAUGAUGAAUGUUUUCUGUUCUUUUGCUGAACCUCUGAACAGAACGAGACCGAGAAUUCUCUUCGUGGCUCCGUGAGGUGCAGCCCUUUGUCAUUCUGUUGUAUUAAUGUCAUCAAACAAACAACAAGACAGAUACAUUGUUCCAGACCUUUUCACUGAAUACACUGGCACCACCAGAACAAUGUUAAUGGUGGUUUGACUAAAUGUAUUUUAGCUCAUAAGUGGCAGAAUGUUUCAUGGUACAUGUCCCAUCCAGUAACACGGAGGAGGCGGGGUUUAUGGUGGUUGACUUAUGGUUGGAAUCAUUGACUGUAUAUAAAGACUGUGCAGCCAAAGCAUCUCAAUGGCCCCCUGGUGGCUGGCUGCAGUAGAGGUCAAAUACCUGGCCUUAUCCUAGUUAGAGAAGGGGAACAUCAAAGAACAAACAUGAAAUAUUUCCUCCAAAUAUGUUUCUGCCAUUUUGUGAAUUUAUUACAAUUUUCAAAGCUAUUAUAUGAAACUCUGGCUGCUAGGGGUCUCUCAAUCAGAACAGAAGACUAAGCUUGAUAAUUUCGUGAGCUGGCGUGGGAUCAUGGGAGUUGUUGUCUUCACCAACAUUGCUGCCGCAAAUUAUAUUCAUGCAUGUGGCUAUGUUUUAAAGUUUUAUUCACGAUACGCAGAAACGGCAGUGAAUAAUCAUGAUCCAUUGCGAGUGACUAAUACAAACAGUGGAAGGAAAAAACCGA